UACGUAGGGUGCAAGCGUUGUCCGGAAUUAUUGGGCGUAAAGAGCUCGUAGGCGGUUUGUCGCGUCUGCUGUGAAAACGCGGGGCUCAACUCCGCGCCUGCAGUGGGUACGGGCAGACUAGAGUGCAGCAGGGGAGACUGGAAUUCCUGGUGUAGCGGUGGAAUGCGCAGAUAUCAGGAGGAACACCGGUGGCGAAGGCGGGUCUCUGGGCCGAUACUGACGCUGAGGAGCGAAAGCGUGGGGGAGCGAACAGG
rnacentral:rRNA from 1 species